GAGGGGGAAGAAAAAACAAAGAACUGAUGGGGAUUCAGAUUUGAGGAGAGAAGAAAAAACAGAGAACUAAGGGGGAUUUAGAUUUGAGGAGAAAAAAAAAAACAGAGAACUAAGGGGAGGGGGGGAGAGAGAGAGAGAUCUAGAGAGAGAAAGCAAGGGGAUUUUGAGAGCAAAAUCAGAGGAGGAAAUCUUCUGCAGGAGUUAUAAGGCUGUACAGGCAUGGAUGUAGACGAGGAAAACCCUAGUUCAGUUUCACUUGCAGAACCUUCAGCGACAGUCAUUGAUGAUCAAACUCCAGUUUCAACCAUUGAUCCUACCCCACUAACAGCAUUGCAACCUAUUAUUCUUUCGUUAGUCCCUCCUCCAAUUGUGCCUCCUAUUGCUCUCAUACCCUCAGUUUUUGUCCUAAUCUUCCGAUCAUUGGUUCCUCUCCCUGUGUUUCCACCUGUCCUUAGGCCACCCUUUCCACAAAAUGGUGAGAUGAGAGCUAGUGAUUCAGAUUCUGAUCGUGAUGACUCAGGCCGUGCCCAGGCAGCUUCAGGUUCAGCUGUAGAAUAUGAGAUUUCAGAAGAGAGCAGACAGUUUAGAGAACGACAAGAAAAAACAAAGCAGGAAUUCUUGAUGAAACGUCGUGCUUCUGCUCUAGCAGUGCCUACUAAUGACAUGGCUGUACAAACUCACCUUCGUCAGCUUGGUGAACCCAUAACCCUUUUGGAGAAAGAGAGAUGGAAAGACGAGAUCGGUUGAGGAUGUUUAUGGAAAAACUGGAUGCUGAUGGUCAAUUGGAGAAGCUGAUGAAAGCUCAUGAGGAGGAAAAGGCUGCAGCUCCUGUUGCAACGGAGGAAGUUGAAGGGGAAACUCUUCAGUACCCAUUCUAUACUGAAGGUUCAAAAUCUCUUUUAGAGGUUCGAGUUGAGAUUUCUAAGUAUUCGAUUAUGAGAGUAGCUUCACAACUUUACCGUGCAAAGAGGAAGACCGCAAAAUUUCAUCUCUCCAUGGGCAACAAGAUCCAAAAGGAUACCAUCGCCAGAUUUUUCAAGGUUGCUGGUUGCAUAUAAAAGAGGCAAUUACAAUAGGCUAUUUGAGGAGUCUCCAUAUGGGUUGCGUCAAUAAACAAGUGGUACGCAUCUGGACUUCAA
rnacentral:lncRNA from 1 species